rnacentral:misc_RNA from 1 species
UCAAACUUGGUCAUUUAGAGGAAGUAAAAGUCGUAACAAGGUUUCCUUCCCCCUCUACGGAACCUGAUGCCCGCGACUAUAAAGAAGGGCGCAGCUCACUCGGUGAGCGAUGCCACUCAAAUGCUGAGACGUUUGAAUCAGCAGCCCCCCGGGGCUCACAGAUCAAAUGGUGGUAACCAUGCCUAGAAGGCGUGGCCAAGAUAUGACCGGUCUUAACUAGCAUUAGUUAAGCUUCGACGCCGUAGGUGAACCUGCAGAAGGAUCAUUAAAAGGUUUCGGGUACCCAGUGCCCAAACUUCAACCCUAAUGUCUUCUACAACUUGUUUCUUUGCCGGUUUCGGCCGGCAGAAGAUUUCUCAAACUCAACUGAUAAAAAUGUCAUCUGAACGUUUGAAAUAAAAUAAAGCAAAACUUUCAACAACGGAUCUCUUGGUUCUGGCAUCGAUGAAGAACGCAGC